AGAGCGAACGCUGGCGGCAGGCCUAACACAUGCAAGUCGAACGAACUCUUCGGAGUUAGUGGCGGACGGGUGAGUAACACGUGGGAACGUGCCUUUUGGUUCGGAAUAACUCAGGGAAACUUGUGCUAAUACCGAAUGUGCCCUUCGGGGGAAAGAUUUAUCGCCACUAGAGCGGCCCGCGUCUGAUUAGCUUGUGGUGAGUAAUGGCUCACAAGGCUACGAUCAGUAGCUGGUCUGAGAGGAUGACCAGCCACAUUGGGACUGAGACACGGCCCAAACUCCUACGGGAGCAGCAAGGUGGGGAAUCUUGCGCAAAGUGGGACAAAGCCUGACGCAGCCAUGCCGCGUGUAUGGAUACGAGUAC
rnacentral:rRNA from 1 species